AAAAAACAUCAUGGAUUUCCUCACAAUUGUCUUAGGAUUAUUAUUUGCACUCACCUUAAUCCAAGCCUUCCGCUCAAUAUCCACCAGAGGCAAGAACCUACCACCAGGGCCGACGCCGUUGCCGAUAAUCGGAAACCUCCACUUGCUCGGUGAUCAACCCCACAAGUCUCUUGCUAAACUGGCCAAAACUUAUGGGCCAAUCAUGUGCCUCCGUUUUGGCAGUAUAAAUACGGUGGUGAUCACCUCCUCCGCCAUGGCGAAGGAGGUUCUGCAAAAACAGGACCUUGCAUUUUCGAGUAGGCAUAUACCUAAUGCCAUCCAUGCACACAACCAGUUCAAGUAUUCCGUGGUGUGGCUGCCGGUGGCAUCGACGUGGCGCAGCCUCAGGAAAAUAUUGAACUCUAAUAUGUUUUCCGGCAACCGGUUGGACGCGAACCAGCAUUUGAGAGUCAGGAAGGUGCAAGAACUCAUUACUUAUUGCCGGAAAAAUAGUCAGGCCGGGGAGGCAGUGGAUAUAGGCCGGGCUGCAUUCAGAACUUCACUGAAUUUGUUGUCUAAUACGAUUUUCUCUAAGGAUUUAACGGACCCUUUUUCAGAUUCGGCCAAAGAAUUCAAGGAC
rnacentral:lncRNA from 1 species